ACGGUCCAAAAUCCUCAUGAAGGUUAAAGCCAAAAUCCCUCAGCCCAGCAGCAUCUUCACAACGCACGACAGCUGGAAUUGUGUGAUUCGUGACAUCGCAUCCGAAUGAGGAAAAUGACUGGCACACUGUAAAGCAUCUGAUAUUAUUCCCCCAAGAAGAAUGCUGCAACAGAACAACAACAAUAACUGCUUGGACAUGGCCCAUAGGGAGCUACUGCAUGAAUGCCGAAGAACCAAUGUCUCAUUCGCCAGUGCCCUUGAGUUUGGAGCCAUACCCCUGAUUAAAGGCCUGAGAGCAUGGGCUGUGAGUGGCGGCUACUCUAAAGCCAGACGAAAGGCCGCUAAUGGAUCUCGGGCACAGGGCACAUGCCAACAGCCUCCUGAAAACAGGCUAGGGCAGAGAAGCUGGUCAGGUCAGGUCAGCAGUGGCUAUGGGCACACAAUGGAGAGCACAAUUAGUGCAACCAGAACUCCAGGGGUCAGGCAAGGCGGUCUUGGCGCUCUUGUAACUGUGGCCACUUUGAAGGGCACUGAGGGGGGUGGUAGGCAGACUCAGACACGCUGCCUCUUUCUCAAGGCCCAGGGCAGGGGCAGCUACAUCUGUGCUGUUGGAAACCGCGGGACUGGGACGAGAGUCACGGCUCCACGGACUCACGCUGUCAUUCUUGAGGGGACAAAGGAAGAGCUUAGAUGUUCCUCUAAAGGGCAGAAGGUGAGCCAGGAUGGGCCAGACAGUGGUGGAUUGUUCAAGGCCAAGCCCAGGGCCAUACGAAAAUGGAGGAAAUGCGGUAAAACAAUGGAGAAAAGAACAGCGGCUCAUGGCAAAGGGGAAAACACUAGUCAGCGCAGUGACCAAAAAAGUUCAGUGAUUUCAGAUGCACAACCACUUAACAUAACACAAGGCCAGACGGGUAGCUAUCCAAGUCAGGACGACUUGAAGUUGAAGGGCAAAGACAAAAGGGCUCAUUCCCCCAUAUUAGUGAAAGCUGUCACACCCAAGAGCACAGAUCCACAAACCUGCUGCUCUUCUGCCAAACCAUGUGCCAAACCAGGUGAGCAGGUUGAAGAUGAGAUGAGCCUUAAUCAAUCCGAUAACUGUUCUGAAAAAGAAUUCAGUUGUGCCAAUGUGCAAGGAGACACUGAGGUCAGUAAAUGUGACCUUGAUGCAAAUGAUCGCCAGAACUUUGUUGCUGAUGUGCCAAACCUAGGGUCAUCUGUAGCAUCUGAGACUCACUCUGAUAGUCUAAGAAUCAAAUUGACCACAACAAACUGUAAUACUGAGCCAAGCAUGGAUCAUUCUCCCAUGAUAACUCCCUCCGAAGUCCCUAUCAGCAUUCAGAAGAAUCAAGAAUCCAGGCCAGACGAGCGCCUACUAGACCGUGAGAAUCUACACUCGGUGGAGCCCGGCGAUCUUGCAACACAGAGAGAUGGGACUCCAUACACAAAGAAUACAGUUUUGCCGGAGGACCGCACUCCAGUGGGUGCUGAAUGUAGCACCACAGAAAAGAAAAGUAGGCCGUCCAUGUGCUCACCUCAGCAUUGGGAGGAAUUAAUCACAAAGCAUGGAGAACAUGAAGUUCAGCAGUCUGACAAAUCCUCUUCACGAGGCUUUAGCGCAACAACAGCCAAUAUAACUGUAACCACUAUUCACUCCCUGGUUAAUCCUGCCCCUACCACCACCACAGCCAUAGCAACAGCCAUCCCAGCAUUAAGCGAGGCGGAGGCGGGGGCUAGAGGUGGAGACUUGCUGCCUCUGGUGAACUCAGAGUUGCUAUCAGAGCCAGCAAGAGUUGACGACAAGGACAAGGUGGCCGCUGACGAGGGGUCUCUUGAUGUGGGCGAGGAGGAGGAGGAGGAGUUUGGGGCAUUCAUGCAGGCAGGUGGAGAGCAGCUGUGGACGGAUGGGUUCAGUGAGGUCCAACAGUUGGCUGAGGAUUACAACUGUGAGGAACACACAAGUUCUGCUGAUGCAAAUGAACCCGCAUCCUGGGCAUCUGAUUGGACUGCAGUCCAGUCAUUCCAGCAGUCAGAGAGCACAUGGACUGCCUUCAGCCAGGAGACUGUGGAGCAGAAGAUAGUGCCUGGUGGCCAUUGGUGGCCUUCUACCGAAAAACCAAACCUUCCUCUCUCUCCUCUCCAUAAUGUGUCAAAUGUGUUUCUAGAGGCCUUUCCCUCAGAAAAGUCCCCCUGUGAAGAUCCUGAAUACAUUCCUACACUAAAGCAGCUUCUGCAAGGACCAGCUGAAAACAGCAAUACAGGGGAGCACAAGGAGCAGAGCUUACUUGAUGGCCUCCAGGAUCUAGACCGGAUGAUUGGUGUGAAAUAUAAGAGGGCGGAGUCUCUGUCCUGUAAACUUCUCCUUCAGUCACUGCAUUUGCAACGUCCCAGCUCUGAAUGUGCGACAGUUCGACUGAAGACCAGUGCCAGGUUUUCUCCAAAUCUCCCAACGUCCAACCAGCAAUUAGCUGCAAAUGCUAAGAGAAGACUGUCAUAUGACUUCAACAGAAAUAUCAUGACCUAGUCUCGAUAUCUGAUGAACCUCUUUGACCUAUGCUUCCUUGAAAACAGGAAAUACAGGACAGAGGAAAAAUACAUGCUGAAAAACUGAGUUUCCAUAGAUCGACUUCUAUUCGAGGUUUAUUUAAAGUGUAUUUCUUCUUUCAGUGUCUGGUAGAUUCUGUUUCUCAUUCAGCUGUGUAUCAAGACACACUAGACCCAUGUUUAACCAAAUAUAUGUUUUUUAGGACAAAUAUAAAAAAUGUCAAGUUAAAAACCCCUUUGCCAAAUUGUUCGGUCCAGUUAUUGGAGUCUGGUUAUUGGACCCAUUUUGAUAUAACUGAUAUAUUCAGAUGAAAAUAUGUCAGUAUGUAUUUGUGUAUUACUUUCAAUCAUUGCUAUGGAUUUUAUUUGUUAGAAUAAGAAUAUUUUUCUGGAGUCAUAGCAAACCAGUUAGUGCACAUUCUCACAGGCAUGUAGAUUCAUAUCUGGCCUGUCACAUCCUGAACCACGUCCCAAACUUUCCUUUCUACUGUCUCACAUGACGUACUGUACAAUUGAAUAAAAAAAUAAUAAUGUGAUUUUAGGGGGAUUAGGAUCAACUCUAGCUCCCCGCGCAAUCUCUCCUUCACCUGUCUGAAACUGUCAAAGCAAAUUUCCACAAAAUGUAUUUUCAUACACCACCUCACACAGAAAUCAAUUUUCUUGUUUCCAUGUCUUUUUUCCCUGUGCUUGAAGUACUAAAUAUAACACUGUAGUGUACCAUUUUUAACUGCUGACGAAUAGAGACCAUAUUUUCAGAAGUGUUUUAAAAUGAAUGUCGACAUUUUAAAUUGAACCUGUAAGCUUGUUUGUUGAUUGAUGUAAUUAAAACAUCUUUGAAUGACUGAAUGAAGUGGAUAACGGAGACAUGCAAAACAUGCAGUGUUGGGGUGCCUCCAG
rnacentral:lncRNA from 1 species